UAUAUAAGGAGGUAAGGCCUGCUCACUGAAUUUUGAAGAGCCGCAGUAUCCUGACUGUGCUAAGGUAGCAUAAUAAUUUGUCUCUUAAUUGGGGACUAGAAUGAAUGGUCUAACGAGAAAUUAACUUUUUUAGGAAUAAUAAUUAAACUUAAUUUUUUAGUGAAAAAGCUAAAAUAAGAUAAAAAGACGAGAAGACCCUAUAGAGUUUUAUAUAUAAACUAUUUACAUUUUAAUAACUUUUUAGAAUUGUAAAUAAAGACUAUAUUUUGUUGGGGCGACAUUUAGAUAAAAAAAACUUUUUAUAUUAAAAACUCAAAUUUGAGUAUUUACUGAUCCUUAAAAAAGAUUAAAAGUAUAAAUUACCUUAGGGAUAACAGCGUAAUCUCCCUUGAGAGCUCAAAUCGACAGGGAGGUUUGCGACCUCGAUGUUGGACUAAAAUUAAACUAAGGUGCAGAAGUCUUAGAUUUAGGUCUGUUCGACCUAUAGAUUUUU
rnacentral:rRNA from 7 species